AGAUUGAACGCUGGCGGCAGGCCUAACACAUGCAAGUCGAGCGGCAGCACGGGUACUUGUACCUGGUGGCGAGCGGCGGACGGGUGAGUAAUGCCUAGGAAUCUGCCUGAUAGUGGGGGAUAACGUUCGGAAACGGACGCUAAUACCGCAUACGUCCUACGGGAGAAAGUGGGGGAUCUUCGGACCUCACGCUAUCAGAUGAGCCUAGGUCGGAUUAGCUAGUUGGUAGGUAAAGGCCUACAAGCUACGAUCCGUAACUGGUCUGAGAGGAUGAUCAGUCACACUGGAACUGAGACACGGUCCAGACCUCCGUACGGGAGGCAGCGAGUAGGGAAUAGUUGGACAAGUGGGACGUAAAGCCUGAUCCAGCCAUCGCCGCGUGUGUUAGAAGUAAGGUCGUUACGGUACUUAGGUAAAAGUCUAAA
rnacentral:rRNA from 1 species